AUGAAAAUCUCUCUUUCUUCUCCUCUCUUCAUUGUUCAUCACCUUCAAUUCCCCACUGAACUUCAUCUAGACGCAUCAAUUUGUACCACAACAUCAUCCUCAACAAUCUGUAAGUAUCACCAUCUCCACCAUAAUAUUGUCAAGCUUCCUCAUCACACAGCAAGAUUCAUCAUCAUCAAUCUUCAUUGCACCUUCCAUCAGCAAUAA